UCGGGUUGUAAAGCACUUUUGUCCGGAAAAAAAACUUCGGGGCUAAUACCUCUGGAGGAUGACGGUACCGGAAGAAUAAGCUCCGGCUAACUACGUGCCAGCAGCGCGGUAAUCGUAGGGUGCGAGCGUUAAUCGGAAUUACUGGGCGUAAAGCGUGCGCAGGCGGUCUGUUAAGACAGAUGUGAAAUCCCCGGGCUUAACCUGGGAACUGCAUUUGUGACUGGCAGGCUAGAGUAUGGCAGAGGGGGGUAGAAUUCCACGUGUAGCAGUGAAAUGCGUAGAGAUGUGGAGGAAUACCGAUGGCGAAGGCAGCCCCCUGGGCCAAUACUGACGCUCAUGCACGAAAGCGUGGGGAGCAAACAGGAUUAGAUACCCUGGUAGUCCACGCCCUAAACGAUGUCAACUAGUUGUUGGGGAUUCAUUUCCUUAGUAACGUAGCUAACGCGUGAAGUUGACCGCCUGGGGAGUACGGUCGCAAGAUUAAAACUCAAAGGAAUUGACGGGGACCCGCACAAGCGGUGGAUGAUGUGGAUUAAUUCGAUGCAACGCGAAAAACCUUACCUACCCUUGACAUGGUCGGAACCCUGGUG
rnacentral:rRNA from 1 species